GGGGUUGUGGCUCAGUGGUAGAGUGCUCGCCUAGCACAUGUGAGGCGCUGGGUUCGAUCCUCAGCACCACA
rnacentral:tRNA from 1 species